CGCGGGGUGGAGCAGCCUGGUAGCUCGUCGGGCUCAUAACCCGAAGGUCGUCGGUUCAAAUCCGGCCCCCG
rnacentral:tRNA from 1 species